AAUGUCACACCCAAUAUAGCUGGGCGGAUUAGUGGCGAACGGGUGAGUAAUACGUGAGUAACCUGCCCUUGACUCUGGGAUAAGCCUGGGAAACUGGGUCUAAUACUGGAUACUACCUCUUGCCGCAUGGUGGGUGGUGGAAAGGGUUUUACUGGUUUUGGAUGGGCUCACGGCCUAUCAGCUUGUUGGUGGGGUAAUGGCUCACCAAGGCGACGACGGGUAGCCGGCCUGAGAGGGUGACCGGCCACACUGGGACUGAGACACGGCCCAGACUCCUACGGGAGGCAGCAGUGGGGAAUAUUGCACAAUGGGCGGAAGCCUGAUGCAGCGACGCCGCGUGAGGGAUGACGGCCUUCGGGUUGUAAACCUCUUUCAGUAGGGAAGAAGCGAGAGUGACGGUACCUGCAGAAGAAGCGCCGGCUAACUACGUGCCAGCAGCCGCGGUAAUACGUAGGGCGCAAGCGUUGUCCGGAAUUAUUGGGCGUAAAGAGCUCGUAGGCGGUUUGUCGCGUCUGCUGUGAAAGCCCGGGGCUCAACCCCGGGUCUGCAGUGGGUACGGGCAGACUAGAGUGCAGUAGGGGAGACUGGAAUUCCUGGUGUAGCGGUGAAAUGCGCAGAUAUCAGGAGGAACACCGAUGGCGAAGGCAGGUCUCUGGGCUGUUACUGACGCUGAGGAGCGAAAGCAUGGGGAGCGAACAGGAUUAGAUACCCUGGUAGUCCAUGCCGUAAACGUUGGGCACUAGGUGUGGGGGACAUUCCACGUUUUCCGCGCCGUAGCUAACGCAUUAAGUGCCCCGCCUGGGGAGUACGGCCGCAAGGCUAAAACUCAAAGGAAUUGACGGGGGCCCGCACAAGCGGCGGAGCAUGCGGAUUAAUUCGAUGCAACGCGAAGAACCUUACCAAGGCUUGACAUUCACCGGACCGCCCCAGAGAUGGGGUUUCCCUUCGGGGCUGGUGGACAGGUGGUGCAUGGUUGUCGUCAGCUCGUGUCGUGAGAUGUUGGGUUAAGUCCCGCAACGAGCGCAACCCUCGUUCUAUGUUGCCAGCACGUGAUGGUGGGGACUCAUAGGAGACUGCCGGGGUCAACUCGGAGGAAGGUGGGGAUGACGUCAAAUCAUCAUGCCCCUUAUGUCUUGGGCUUCACGCAUGCUACAAUGGCCGGUACAAAGGGUUGCGAUACUGUGAGGUGGAGCUAAUCCCAAAAAGCCGGUCUCAGUUCGGAUUGAGGUCUGCAACUCGACCUCAUGAAGUCGGAGUCGCUAGUAAUCGCAGAUCAGCAACGCUGCGGUGAAUACGUUCCCGGGCCUUGUACACACCGCCCGUCAAGUCACGAAAGUUGGUAACACCCGAAGACCGGUGGCCUAACCCCUUGUGGGAGGAGCCGUCGAAGGUGACC
rnacentral:rRNA from 1 species